rnacentral:ncRNA from 2 species
UUCUUAUCCAGAGAAGCCGAGGGACUGGCCCGAUGAAGCUUCAGCAACCUCUACUUAAGUAGAAAGGUGCUAAUUCCAGCAAGCAUUCGCUUGGAAGAUAAGAG